rnacentral:lncRNA from 1 species
UUUCUCUGGGAACACUGGUUGCCCUGGAGUGCACUCUGUAGACCAAGCUGGCCUCAAACCACAAAUCUGCCUCUGCCUCCCAGUUCAUGAUGUGAACACCUGGAUCCAGAUGUGCCCGAAGCUCUCCCAUUAUCUAGACUUCUCGAUUAAACGAUCUCAAGUUGGGAUUUCUCAUACUUGCAGAAGAAACCAACCCUGGCUAAUACAGAGACACAGCAUACAACCCUGUCACUAUUGUGCCAGUUAAGUGAGAGGGUGAUGGCACACAGGAGCAUCUAAAUUAUACCCAGGGCACAUGUAAGGCGAGAUGGUUUUGCUUUCUGCCCUUCCCCAUUCUUUUUCUGAAACCUCAGCCUCAGAGAGUCAUGUCGGCAUGGUCCCAGUCAUCCGGCACAAGAAUUACACCCAAGGUCAUGAACAGUGAUGGCAGAGCUGUCAUCUCCAGGAAAGGACAACAACAAACAACAGUUACUCCAGUUCUGGAAUACAACACACCGCAGGCUUGCAAAGCCCUUGUAGCCAAAUUAAAUCUGACAUCACUCCUCGGGUUGACAGAACACCAUGGCAGCUUUUCCAAUAGAAUGAACCCAGAUACCCGAGGGCGCUGUCUCUUGUGGGUUGGCAUCACCUCCUCCACUCCAGCUCUGCUAAUGGUGAUUGAGCCUCUGAGAUCACGGGAUGGAGAGUAACAGACACGGAGAACUCGGGGUGCUCACACAGGAGCCCAGAGAAGCCAGGAGCUCAAACAUAACCUUGAGUUCAGCCCCGGGGCCCUGAAGCCAUUGUACUAUCUCCAUUCCUUGGCCAAGGUCAGAAGGAAUCCACAGGGUCCCCGCUAGGCCACGUCAGAAUCAGCACAUCGGUUGAUGAGCACAGCAAUGUUUUUUAAACAAAGGGACGGCUGGCAUCAAGGUCAUCACGAAAGGUUGUGACUGUUCCUCUCUUCCAGAAAGGACACUGGCCGCAUCUGGGCAGAGGUGUGACAGCGUACUCAUUCAGGACAUAAGGUGACGCCCACACUGCUUAGCUCCCCACCACAGGACACUUGAUCCUUCUCCAUCGUUAAAGGUGACCAUU